AUUAGCCAUGCAUGUCUCAGUACAUGCCGAAUUAAGGUGAAACCGCGAAUGGCUCAUUAAAUCAGUUAUGGUUCAUUAGAUCGUGGACACAUUUACUUGGAUAACUGUGGUAAUUCUAGAGCUAAUACAUGCAAACAGAAUUCCUCUCAGAGAUGGGAGGAAUGCUUUUAUUAGAUCAAAACCAAUCGGUGGCGGACGGCUCGUCCGUUCGUCCAUCGUUUGUUUUGGUGACUCUGAAUAACUUUGUGCUGAUCGCAUGGUCAUCUAGCACCGGCGACGCAUCUUUCAAAUGUCUGCCUUAUCAACUGUCGAUGGUAGGUUCUGCGCCUACCAUGGUUGUAACGGGUAACGGGGAAUCAGGGUUCGAUUCCGGAGAGGGAGCCUGAGAAACAGCUACCACAUCCAAGGAAGGCAGCAGGCGCGCAAAUUACCCACUCCCGGCACGGGGAGGUAGUGACGAAAAAUAACGAUACGGGACUCAUCCGAGGCCCCGUAAUCGGAAUGAGUACACUUUAAAUCCUUUAACGAGGACCAAUUGGAGGGCAAGUCUGGUGCCAGCAGCCGCGGUAAUUCCAGCUCCAAUAGCGUAUAUUAAAGUUGUUGCGGUUAAAAAGCUCGUAGUUGAAUCUGUGUGUCACAGUGUCGGUUCACCGCUCGCGGUGUUUAACUGGCAUUAUGUGGUACGUCCUAUCGGUGGGCUUAGCUCCUUGCGGGCGGUCCAACUAAUAUCCCAUCGCGGUGCUCUUCACUGAGUGUCGAGGUGGGCCGAUACGUUUACUUUGAAAAAAUUAGAGUGCUUAAAGCAGGCUACCUUUGCCUGAAUACUGUGUGCAUGGAAUAAUGGAAUAGGACCUCGGUUCUAUUUUGUUGGUUUUCGGAACCCCGAGGUAAUGAUUAAUAGGGACAGAUGGGGGGCAUUCGUAUUGCGACGUUAGAGGUGAAAUUCUUGGAUCGUCGCAAGACGGACAGAAGCGAAAGCAUUUGCCAAAAAUGUUUUCAUUAAUCAAGAACGAAGUUAGAGGUU
rnacentral:rRNA from 1 species